GACAGAGGAUGCAAACGUUGCUCGGAAUUACUGGGCGUAAAGCGCGUGUAGGUGGUUCGGUAAGUCAGGUGUGAAAUCCCGGGGCUCAACCCCGGAAGUGCAUUUGAUACUGCCAAACUUGAGUACUGGAGAGGAGAGUGGAAUUCCCGGUGUAGAGGUGAAAUUCGUAGAUAUCGGGAGGAACACCAGUGGCGAAGGCGACUCUCUGGACAGAUACUGACACUGAGACGCGAAAGCGUGGGGAGCAAACAGG
rnacentral:rRNA from 1 species